rnacentral:rRNA from 1 species
GAUGAACGCUGGCUGCGUGCCUAAUACAUGCAAGUCGAGCGAACGGACGAGAAGCUUGCUUCUCUGAUGUUAGCGGCGGACGGGUGAGUAACACGUGGAUAACCUACCUAUAAGACUGGGAUAACUUCGGGAAACCGGAGCUAAUACCUGAUGAUAUUUUGAACCGCAUGGUUCAAAAGUGAAAGACGGUCUUGCUGUCACUUAUAGAUGGAUCCGCGCUGCAUUAGCUAGUUGGUAAGGUAACGGCUUACCAAGGCAACGAUGCAUAGCCGACCUGAGAGGGUGAUCGGCCACACUGGAACUGAGACACGGUCCAGACUCCUACGGGAGGCAGCAGUAGGGAAUCUUCCGCAAUGGGCGAAAGCCUGACGGAGCAACGCCGCGUGAGUGAUGAAGGUCUUCGGAUCGUAAAACUCUGUUAUUAGGGAAGAACAUAUGUGUAAGUAACUGUGCACAUCUUGACGGUACCUAAUCAGAAAGCCACGGCUAACUACGUG